UCUUCGGAGAGGUGGAUGGUCGUGCCAAUCCUAGGACGAGCCCCCAAUGCAAUGAAAGAUCUCUGAAGGGAGACCCUCACUCAAGUCUUAGGAUAAUAGCGGACCCCCAAGAACUCAAGAGAGA
rnacentral:pre_miRNA from 7 species